rnacentral:misc_RNA from 1 species
GCGCGGACGAUAUAUUAAAUCAAAUAUGAAAGUAAAAUCCAGCAUCAAAAUCAAUAGGCCCAGCCCCAGAAUUCGUGCUAGAACUUUUAGAAGCAGACGACGAGUACACUGCAGUGCCAUAAUCAGAACUCAUGCUAGUUUCAGGCGAUACGAAUGACCUUAAAUCCUUCCCCAUAUUGAGUUCUACAUAUGGAUCAUUGCCUAUUGGACCAACUGAAUCCUCUUCUGCAGAUUCUUGAUUUGAGCCGAGGAAAUGUUGAUUGUUGUUACCAGAAAUCUUGGAAUUUGCAGUGGCUAUAUAAGAUGCACAAGGAUCAGAGUCGUUAAUGUUCAGAGGAAAUCUUUGAAUAGGACCAACCUUGGGUCCCUUAAAAGGUAGAAAAUCAGAAUCUCUGGUGUUGCUCUCAAUCUUAGGUCGAAUAAUCUUGGGUUUGGGUAACUUAAAACUGAGAAGAAUAUCAGAAUCUGUGGUGUUCCUCUCAAUCCUAGGUCGCUCAAAGCUGAGCAGAAUGCCACCCUCCUCAUCCUCCUCACGAGGACCAGGAUAUGUUGAGAUGAUUUCUUCAUCCUUAAGAAUAUUUCUGCAGGUGUGAUGGCCAAAAUAAGUGAUGCGAUACUUCGGUGAAACUGUUGCAAGUCUCUGAACUUGUUUUGUUGCCACGCAGCCUUGAUCGCACUUGNUGCACCUAAAGUAAUUCCUUGGGUAUAGACAAUUCAAGAUUAUUUUUUCCCCAUAUUUUCUCCAUGAAUAGCCAUCAUCUGUUAGGAAAGAUGACUCUUUCGUCCAUGACGGGCGAUUCAUCUUUUUU